GUCACAGGCAGUUUCCAUGGCUACGGAUGUACCCAUUUUGCUGAGAUGAGGAGGUGAGGCUCUCCACGGCCCCUGGAUCACUUGUGCCCAACAGCAGGUAUCUGACUGCACUGGAGGGAGGGUCUUCCACAUCCCCUCCACCUCCACGGAGCCCAUCUGGAGUAAAGGCCGGGAACACGGACAGAAAUUCCAUACAAGGAGAGAAAGACAGAGGGAGAGAGAGAGACAGUCAGCCAAC
rnacentral:lncRNA from 1 species